GGAGGGCGCAAGCGUUGUUCGGAAUCAUUGGGCGUAAAGCGCGUGCAGGCGGCUUGGUAAGUCGGGUGUGAAAUCCCGGGGCUCAACCCCGGAACUGCACCCGAUACUGCCUCGCUCGAGUCCCGGAGAGGAUGGCGGAAUUUCCGGUGUAGAGGUGAAAUUCGUAGAUAUCGGAAGGAACACCAGCGGCGAAGGCGGCCAUCUGGACGGUGACUGACGCUCAGACGCGAAAGCGUGGGGAGCAAACAGGAUUAGAUACCCUGGUAGUCCACGCUGUAAACGUUGGGUGCUAGGCGUCGUGGGUAUUGACCCCCGCGGUGCCGAAGCUAACGCAUUAAGCACCCCGCCUGGGGAGUACGGUCGCAAGACUAAA
rnacentral:rRNA from 1 species